rnacentral:tRNA from 1 species
GGGGCUGUAGCUCAAUUGGUAGAGCGCUUCGGUCGCAUCGAAGAGGUCAGGGGUUCGAUUCCCCUCAGCUCCA